rnacentral:antisense_RNA from 1 species
GGGACUGCCUGUAAUAGCACUGGGAUUUUGCCUCCCAGCCAAAAUGCUCCAGGGUAGGCAGCAAAGAAGAAAGAGUGCGAUAUGAGGGUACAGUGAGUUUGGCAGUCCAAAUUCUGUUCUCUGCAGCCUGUUUUUGAGUAGUUGGUGAAUAAAGUCACCCGCCUACUUGUCUAAGCACAUGUGGGUGUGUAACUCAGUUCCUGGUUCUCGGUUCUAAAAACAGACUUCCAACUGGGAAACUUUUUGGGGGAAAUUAACUGGACACCUAUCUCGGAGGUUUAUUUUCUUGCAACCAGUGAAGUCGUCCUCCUCCCUUCCCUGGAUAACUCUUCAGUUUGACUGUCACUGUUCUGGUGUCAACUCCAGCGUCGGCACAGGCAGAAGGACUUCAGCUGCUGGUCUCAUUGGUUCCACUGCCAUUGAUAUGGGGGGGUGCAGAGGAGCACUCAUUGUCCAUGAUGGAGAUCCAGGACAGACUGGGGGACUCCGGGAAGAGGCUUUCUUGGGGAAGAGGACCCCAAAGGAGCAUACAGUUUGAACAUUUAUUCGCCUCC